CCCUUAGAUGUUCUGGGCCGCACGCGCGCUACACUGAUGCAUUCAACGAGUUUUGUUUGUUCCUUGGCCGAGAGGCCUGGGCAAUCUUUUGAACUUGCAUCGUAAUAGGGAUAGAUUAUUGCAAUUAUUAAUCUUGAACGAGGAAUUCCUAGUAAACGCAGAUCAUCAAUCUGCAUUGAUUACGUCCCUGCCCUUUGUACACACCGCCCGUCGCACCUACCGAUUGAAUGGUCCGGUGAAUUACAUAGAAUUUUGCGUUUUACAUGACGGAAGACGAAGUGUUUUAAACCUUAUCAUUUAGAGGAAGGAGAAGUCGUAACA
rnacentral:rRNA from 1 species